rnacentral:rRNA from 1 species
GACGUAGGAGGCGAGCGUUGUCCGGAUUCAUUGGGCGUAAAGAGCACGCAGGCGGUUUGGCAAGUCGGAUGUGAAAACCCGGGGCUCAACCCCGGGCCUGCAUUCGAUACGGGCAGACUAGAGUUCGGUAGGGGAGUCUGGAAUUCCUGGUGUAGCGGUGAAAUGCGCAGAUAUCAGGAGGAACACCGGUGGCGAAGGCGGGACUCUGGGCCGAUACUGACGCUGAGGAGCGAAAGCGUGGGGAGCAAACAGG